rnacentral:rRNA from 1 species
GACAGAGGGUGCAAGCGUUGUUCGGAAUUACUGGGCGUAAAGCGCGCGUAGGCGGCUUUUCAAGUCGGAUGUGAAAGCCCAUGGCCUAACCAUGGAAGUGCAUUCGAUACUGUGAGGCUUGAGUCCCGGAGAGGGUGGUGGAAUUCCCAGUGUAGAGGUGAAAUUCGUAGAUAUUGGGAGGAACACCGGUGGCGAAGGCGACCACCUGGACGGAGACUGACGCUGAGGUGCGAAAGCGUGGGUAGCAAACAGG